rnacentral:rRNA from 1 species
CCCCUACGGGAGGCAGCAGUGAGGAAUAUUGGUCAAUGGGCGCGAGCCUGAACCAGCCAAGUCGCGUGAGGGAAGACGGUCCUAUGGAUUGUAAACCUCUUUUGUCGGGGAGCAAAAGACGCCACGCGUGGCGUUCCGAGAGUACCCGAAGAAAAAGCAUCGGCUAACUCCGUGCCAGCAGCCGCGGUAAUACGUAGGAUCCGAGCAUUAUCCGGAGUGACUGGGUGUAAAGAGUUGCGUAGGUGGCAUAACAAGUAGCUAGUGAAAUCUGGUGGCUCAACCAUUCAGACUAUUAGCUAAACUGU